GAUGAACGCUGGCGGCGUGCCUAAUACAUGCAAGUCGAGCGAACAGACGAGGAGCUUGCUCCUCUGACGUUAGCGGCGGACGGGUGAGUAACACGUGGAUAACCUACCUAUAAGACUGGGAUAACUUCGGGAAACCGGAGCUAAUACCGGAUAAUAUAUUGAACCGCAUGGUUCAAUAGUGAAAGACGGUUUUGCUGUCACUUAUAGAUGGAUCCGCGCCGCAUUAGCUAGUUGGUAAGGUAACGGCUUACCAAGGCAACGAUGCGUAGCCGACCUGAGAGGGUGAUCGGCCACACUGGAACUGAGACACGGUACAGACUCCUACGGGAGGCAGCAGUAGGGAAUCUUCCGCAAUGGGCGAAAGCUUGACGGAGCAACGCCGCGUGAGUGAUGAAGGUCUUCGGAUCGUAAAACUCUGUUACUAGGGAAGAACAAAUGUGUAAGUAACUAUGCACGUCUUGACGGUACCUAAUCAGAAAGCCACGGCUAACUACGUG
rnacentral:rRNA from 1 species